AUGGGGGGGAAGAUAAUUCUGCUCAAGUUCAACCAUCAUUCUCAAUCUCAGCCAAGACCUACUCCUGUGCCAGUUUCUUCUCAACAAGUGCCAAGUAAUAACGCAUAUGUAUGUGGCCCCUUAUCACUCUACCCAUAACAAGCUGCUCUUUUGAAAUACUCUUUCCACCUGUCAGUUGGAUAAAACCUGGCAUCAUGACAGACUGAACUCUUUGUCCCCGUCGUCUCCUGCUGGAAUCAUCAAAAGUUUUCCUCCUCCACGUCUCCUCCAGGAUCUUUUGAGAGGAGAAAUAUGCUUUGCAAAUCACAGAGAUGGUGCUCGUUGGCGUAUUGUGACCUAUGGUCCGCUUCCAUACAUCAUAAAAGCCCCGCCAGGUGUCUUCCCCAGUAAGAUCGGGCUUUUCAUCAUCCAUCGAAGAUUCGGACCGUCAUUAAUGAAGAUGAACCAGAGACCUUCCUGAAACACCUUUGUUUUUUCCAAAUCUGAAGCGUCCUCCAUGUAUUGUUACUCAAGAAUUACAUUAAAAAAAGGACCCACAAAAACUUA